UACAGAGGUGGCAAGCGUUGUUCGGAAUUACUGGGCGUAAAGCGCACGUAGGCGGCUUUGUAAGUAAGAGGUGAAAGCCCAGAGCUCAACUCUGGAAUUGCCUUUUAGACUGCAUCGCUUGAAUCAUGGAGAGGUCAGUGGAAUUCCGAGUGUAGAGGUGAAAUUCGUAGAUAUUCGCAAGAACACCAGUGGCGAAGGCGGCUCACUGGCCCGAUACUGACGCUGAGGCACGAAAGCGUGGGGAGCAAACAGG
rnacentral:rRNA from 1 species